rnacentral:rRNA from 1 species
GACCUCUCCCUCUCCCUUUCCCUGGUUCCCACCGCCACGCCGGCGCUCAACAAGGACAACUACCUCGCCAUCUGCCUCACCGCGCUCGCCGCCACCAUCAAGGAGCAGCAGGCGAGCGUGUGGAACCCGUCCCCUACCCGGGCUUAGGAGCUGCGGUUCAGCUGCGCGGUCUGCGGGAAGGAGUUUGCAUCGUACCAGACGAUCGACGGGCACAAGUCUAGCCACCGCAAGCCGCCGCCCACCAGAGAGUACUGCAUUGCCACACAGGCGUCCAUGGGCGGUGGGUCAGAGGCGAGCGCGGUGGCGUCCUCGGUGCUCGUCUGUGAGCGGGGCUUCACGACCGAGCAGGCGCUCAGAGGGCACAAGCACUGCCACUACUGGGAUGGCACCUCUGUUUCCAUGUCCAUGUCCGUCUCCGUGUCGGCAUCCUCUGCCGUGCUGAGGAACUUCGACCUAAACCUGUUGUCGAUGCCGGAGAACAUAGGGGUGAAGAGGUGGGACGAGGACGAGGAGGUGCAGAGCCCUCUCCCCACCAAGAAGCUGAGUCUUUUGCUAUAA